rnacentral:rRNA from 1 species
UGGGGAAUCUUGCACAAUGGGGGCAACCCUGAUGCAGCGACGCCGCGUGAGCGAUGAAGCCCUUCGGGGUGUAAAGCUCUUUCGGCAGGAACGAUAAUGACGGUACCUGAAGAAGAAGCUGCGGCUAACUACGUGCCAGCAGCCGCGGUAAUACGUAGGCAGCGAGCGUUGUUCGGAGUUACUGGGCGUAAAGAGUGCGUAGGCGGUGCUCUAAGUUUGGUGUGAAAUCUCCCGGCUUAACUGGGAGGGUGCGCCGAAAACUGGAGUGCUUGAGUGUGGGAGAGGUAAGCGGAAUUCCUGGUGUAGCGGUGAAAUGCGUAGAUAUCAGGAGGAACACCUGUGGUGUAGACAGCUUACUGGACCAUGACUGACGCUGAGGCACGAAAGCGUGGGGAGCAAACAGGAUUAGAUACCCUGGUAGUCCACGCCCUAAACGAUGCAUACUUGGUGUGAGCCAUUCAUUUGGUUCGUGCCGGAGCUAACGCGUUAAGUAUGCCGCCUGGGGAGUACGGUCGCAAGGCUGA